AAUAUUGCGCAAUGGAGGAAACUCUGACGCAGCGACGCCGCGUGAGCGAUGAAGGUCUUCGGAUCGUAAAGCCCUGUCCUUGGGGAAGAAGAUCGAAAGAUUUGACGGUACCCGAGGAGGAAGCCCCGGCUCACCACGUGCCAGCAGCCGCGGUAAUACGUAGGGGGCAAGCGUUGUCCGGAAUUAUUGGGCGUAAAGGGUGCGUAGGCGGCUUUUUAAGUCAGAUGUGAAAGACCACGGCUUAACCGUGGGGUUGCAUUUGAAACUGGAAGGCUUGAGUAUCGGAGAGGGUAGUGGAAUUCCAUGUGUAGCGGUGAAAUGCGUAGAGAUAUGGAGGAACACCAGUGGCGAAGGCGACUCUCUGGUCUGUAACUGACGCUGAGGCGCGAAAGCGUGGGGAUCAAACA
rnacentral:rRNA from 1 species